rnacentral:lncRNA from 1 species
AACGUCCACAUGCCACGGAUGCGGCUCUAAAAAGACAAAAAAAAGGGGUAAAAUUUGGAUCAUAACUUUACCUGGUGAAUAUAGAAAUAAAACGGGGAAGAAAGAGAUAUUUUCAAUUGAUAUUUUUUCAUCAAGUUGUGAGAAUUUGAUAGAGGACAUUUUUUUUUACUCCAAGGGCUAUUCUGCCUUAAAAACCGAGGAUUUAAAUCAGAGCAUCUUUACUCUACAGCAUGGUGCUGCAUAAAUAUGAAGAAUUCUUCUCUGGUGUCCUUUGUAAUUAGUUAUCAAAAGCCCCAUUACCCUGUGGCAGAUAUGUUACAAUAGAAAGGAGAAAUAAUGGUAAUAAUGAGUGCUUACUGUGUGUUGGCCACAUCGCUUAAAUGUUUUUUUUUUUUCCCUAUUAUUCCAUUAAUUCCACAACAGCCCUAGGAAAUAGAUACUAUUAUCAUUCCCACUUCAUUGAAAAAUUAAAGCUUAGGAAAGCUCAGGGCUUGGAGCCUAAGUUCAGAGUGAGGUAGCCUGGCUCCAGAGAAACUUAAGAUCUUAGCCACACUGGAUAGAACUUCUUUCACCCAUUUCAUCUUCUGUCCAGUUGUGUUUUCCUUAGGAUGUCGCAUGGCCAUUUUGAGACACCUUAUCCCUCAAAUGAACACUUAGGAAAUAUAGUUAUUGUUAAAAUAGUUUGGCACUAACUGUUAGCAUAGUUUCUUUUUGAAGAUUGCUGAUCCUAAUCUAUUUUAUGGUAAUUUUGAGUAGUAGUUUCAUUUAGAGGAUGGACCAUUACAAAUGAGGAAGGUUGCAAAAAAACCCCAAGGAUAAUGUGAAGAAAAACUGUUCCUACUUAGAUUCACUUACUGUUAACAUUUCUCCCAUUUAUUUUAUCAUUUGUGCAUAUUUUCUUGCUCUGUAUUUAUGUUUGCGUAUGUGUGUAUAUGUAUAUUUUUUUUCUGACUCAUUUGAAGAUGACAUAUAUAUCAUGGCCUUUACCCCUAAAUAUUUUAUUGUGUUUUUUCUAAGAACAGGAAUUUUUACUUACACAGCAGUUACUGUUUCAUAGGUUUGUACUCUUAAACUAUUUUCAUCAAUCUGCAAUCCGUAUCACACUUUUGUCAGUUGACCUAAUAAAGUCCUUUAUAACAUUUUUCCUCCAGUCUGGGGCUAUGCAUCACAUUUACUUGUCAUAUCUGUUUAAUAUCCUUUCGUCUUGAAUAUUUCUACAGUUGGUCUUUUAUCAGAUUGACUUUUUUUUGAAGACUAUAGUACCUUUAACAAAAAAAGAGAAUGUUCCUCAUUUUGUGUUGGUCUGAAGUCUCCUCGUCGUUAGAUGCAGGUUGUGCAUUCCAAGCCAGAUCUUUCUUCUCCCCUCCUUAUUUAUUAAGUUUAUUCUCCUUCAAAAUCAGGAAGUUACCACUGAUGCAAUAAGGUUAUCUAAGUACCAAUGUGAGAUUCCAUCUGUUACUCUGCAGAUGUCUUUAUGGUAAGAAAAUCCUGGGCCAUAGGUUACAUCUGGUCUCCUUUCAUCUGCAACAGUUUCUCAGUCUUUCUUUGUGUUUACUGGUGUUGACAGUUUGGAGGAGCACCAGCCAAUUAUUACCAGCAUGUCCUUCAAUUUUGGCUGGUUGGAAUUUUCCUCGUGUUUAGAUUCAAAUUGAGCCUUUUUGGUGGAAAUGCUGUGCAGGGACUUUGUAUUCCUCUCAGUGCAUCAAAUAUAGAGACACCAUAUCUGUGUCCCACCUCUGGGCAUGUUGAAUAUGAUCCUUUAGUUAAAGCCCAGUCUACCAGGUUUGACCAGUGUUGUUCUUUUCCCCACUUCAGACAUUACCUCUCUUGCGGAGUGAUGUGUUUAGGUAAUAACCUGUUCCUCCUCAGACUUUUACUUGUACAAUAGAAUCCAUGGCUGAUUCCUACCUGACUCUCGUUAGUCUUAGGAUGGUCACCCAAUGGUGAUUUAAAAUUUCAUCAUUCCCUCUUCAUUUAUUCAUUGCCUUUCUUCCACAGAGAGUGUUCCCUUAUCUCUCAUUUAUUUAUUUUUUUUUUAAUAUGAGUUCAGACUCACAGGUCCUUACUUUAUUCUUAUCUUAUUAUUCUUACUUAUUUUUGAAGCUCAAAUUGUCCUAGAUUUGGCCUGUGGGAGCUUCUUCAAGCUGGCUCCUGUGUAGUUUUGGCAUAUCCCUGUCAUUCUUUGACACUGUUUCACUUUCUGGCACAGAGAUGGUCCUCCUUGUGCAUUUUCCCUGCCUCAGCCCUGAAAGCGGCCGUUUCUCCAAGGAGCUCUGUAUGACGGCACCUCGUUUUCCAUAUGCUGACCAAGAGUGACUUUUCAAACUGUUUAAUUUUUGUCCAUCUGAUAGCACCACCAAGCUGCCCUGGAAUGGAACUUCUGCUCAGUUCUUGGAUUGAGGGAUGGAGGAGGAGUUUACUUCAUUCAUUCUCAGGGACUCUUAACUGGUGAGAAGAAUUUAGGAUAUUUUACCAUCUGGAGUUUCUCUGCCUCACUGGUGAUUUAAACUCAAACCUGCCAGUUUAUGCAAGAUGAUAGAAAGUACCCUGUAACAUCUGAGUUGCAAAAAUAUCUGCCUCUGAGAGCUCAGGAGGAUCUGCUUUGUGGGAGCAAAGGUAGUGAGUCAUACCUGGAAGCUUGCGCCUCUUCAUCCAGUCAAGUCUCCUAGGCAACAGUUUAUGCAGCACUUAAAAGAUGAGGAGUUAAGAGGAGAAAAUGGAAAAAAAAAAACAACAGAAGUACUUUUAAUGGAACAGAAUAAACCACUGAACAGCAAUUUCCUGGCCAGAGCAGGAACUAGAGCAGAGUCUGGGAGAAGUGACCAUGCCAGGACGGUUUUCCCACCUGUGCUUCCCUGCACGACUGAAAGGAGGGGUGUGUCCGACCCUCGCUGCAGUCCGUGUGCCGCAAAGCAGAAUCCAGCUCCGACCCACCACGAAGGUUGUUAAUGCGCUAUUAAUGGUGUUGAAAUAUGAUGUUUUGGUUACAUGUACAAGCUGAGUUUGAAUAUGGAUGAAGUGUGAGCUUUCCACACGUGGUCACAGAGCAGCCAUCAUCCUCCGUGGGCAGCACCUGUCUUUGCUGUCCUGUGUGUGGUUAAGGCCCAAGGAAGAGUGGUGUGAUUGCAGCUGACUUACUUGAUCUUACUCUGUUGAGGACGGACUUCUCGUGAGGUCGGCUCAUGUAGUCGCUCCUGUAAUCGGCUUUUUGUUUAUGUUCUCAGUGCUGUUCGGCAAAUGCUGCAGGGACAUAGAGCACUGGCACGUAGCUGUCAGGAUUUGCCAUCUGGGAGGUGAUGUCCCGCCGAGCGCCCUGCUCCCUCCUGUCCCAGGCCUCUGUCACCUCCCAGAAGCUCCACACCCGCCCCUCGGUUUUCACUUCUCAGUCUCUGUAGCUGCCACCCCGCCUGUGCACAGAGCAGACAGACCCCCAGAAGUGAGCUCACUCGGGUUCUGGCCCGAGUCAACACUUACCUGCACCUGCCUUGUUUUCCUGGCCUCCUGUUCCAGUGGGAAGGAUCCUUUCCCCCAUCUGAGACCCUGGACCCCAUCCCCUCUCACCUCCUCAGAGACUUUCUUUCUCUGCCCAUUACCUGCCAUUCGCCAUUGACUCUCUCUUGCGAGCAUGUAAACCUACUCAAGUCUUACAAGUUAAAAACAAAACCGGGAGUUCCUGUUGUAGCUCAGUGGUAACAAAUGCAACUAGUAUCCAUGAGGACACGUGUUCGAUCUCUGGCCUCACGCAGUGGGUUAAGGAUCUGGCGUUGCCAUGAGCUAUAGUGUAGCACAGAUGUGGCUCAGAUCUGGCCUUGCUGCAGCUGUGGUGUAGGCCGGCAGCUGCAGCUCUGAUUCAGCCCCUCGCCUGGGAACUUCCAUGUGUCACAGGCCUGGCCCUGAGAAGCCAAAAAAAAAAAUAAAAUAAAAA